UCAAGCUGAAAAGAGCGCAAGGGGAAUGCCUUGGCAUCAGGAGCCGACGAAGGACGUGACAAGCUGCGAUAAGCCACGGGGAGGAGCAAAUAUCCGUUAUAUCCGUGGAUUUCCGAAUGGGGGAACCCGCUCAAGCAAUACUUGAGCAUCGUGCGUUGAAUCAAAUAGGCGUACGAAGGGAACGGCCUGAACUGAAACAUCUAAGUAGGGCCAGGAAAAGACAUCAACCGAGAUUCCGCUAGUAGUGGCGAGCGAACGCGGAGGAGGCCAAACCGAGGGACGCAAGUUCUUCGGGGUUGCGGACAGACAUCAUGACCAGAGGAAGUUAAGAGAACGGCGUGGGAAAGCCGGCCAUAGAAGGUGAGAGCCCUGUAUCUGAAAAUGAAGACUGGCAGUCUGGAUCCAGAGUACCGCGGGACACGUGAAACCCCGUGGGAAACCGGGUGGACCACCAUCCAAGCCUAAAUACUACCUGAUGACCGAUAGAGGAGCAGUACCGUGAGGGAAAGGUGAAAAGGACCCCGGGAGGGGAGUGAAAGAGAACCUGAAACCUUGUGCUUACAAGCAGUCAGAGCACGUUAACGUGUGAUGGCGUACUUUUUGUAGAACGGUCCGGCGAGUUAUAGUAACGAGCAAGCUUAAGGUAUUCAGUACCGGAGGCGAAGCGAAAGCGAGUCUGAAUAGGGCGUAUGAAGUUCGUUGCCAUAGACCCGAAACCGGGUGACCUACGCAUGAGCAGGUUGAAGUGGGGGUGAAACCCCAUGGAGGACCGAACCAACCCCCGUUGCAAUGGUGGUGGAUGACUUGUGCGUAGCGGUGAAAUUCCAAUCGAACUCGGAGAUAGCUGGUUCUCCCCGAAAUAGCUUUAGGGCUAGCGUUAGUUUAGAUUACCGGAGGUAAAGCACUGAAUGGUUUAGGGGCUGAUAAAGUUACCGACGCCUAUCAAACUCUGAAUGCCGGAUAAUUGAUGACUAGCAGUCAGACAGUGUGAGAUAAGUUUCAUUGUCAAAAGGGAAACAGCCCAGACCUACAGCUAAGGUCCCAAAUGUAUGCUAAGUGGAAAACGAUGUGGAAUUGCGAAAACAACCAGGAUGUUGGCUUAGAAGCAGCCACACAUUAAAAGAGUGCGUAAUAGCUCACUGGUCGAGUGACUCUGCGCGGAAAAUGUAACGGGGCUAAGCAUGCAACCGAAGCUUAGGAUUGUCUAAAGACAGUGGUAGGGGAGCGUUCUGUAUGGGGUGAAGUCGCAGCGAGAGCAGCGGUGGACUGUACAGAAGUGAGAAUGCCGGAAUGAGUAGCGAGAAUUAUGUGGGAAUCAUAAUGGCCGAAAAUCUAAGGUUUCUUGGGGAAGGUUCGUCCGCCCAAGGUAAGUCGGGAGCUAAGCUCAGGCCGCGAGGCGUAGGCGAUGCACAUACGGUAGAAAUUCCGUAACCACCGAACUUUAAGCAUGAGGGACACUUUGAGAUAGCGGAACCCGGGCGUUGGUUGACCCGGGCGAAAGGGACCGAAAUAUAGUAGGGAAGUCCGCGAUGCUCGGAGGCGAGAAAAGCUCAUGUGUAUACUAAGGUGCCCGUACCGCAAACCGACACAGGUAGAUGAGGAGAGAAUCCUAAGGCCAACGGGAGAAGGGUUGUUAAGGAACUCGGCAAAUUGACCCCGUAACUUCGGAAGAAGGGGAGCCCCGAAAGAGGCCGCAGUGAAUAGGCCCAAGCAACUGUUUACCAAAAACACAGGUUUAUGCUAAAUCGAAAGAUGACGUAUAUGAGCUGACGCCUGCCCGGUGCCGGAAGGUUAAGAGGAGAUGUCAACCGCGAGGUGAAGCAUUGAAUUGAAGCCCCGGUAAACGGCGGCCGUAACUAUAACGGUCCUAAGGUAGCGAAAUUCCUUGUCAGGUAA
rnacentral:rRNA from 1 species